ACCCUGAUCCAGCCAUGCCGCGUGAGUGAUGAAGGCCCUAGGGUUGUAAAGCUCUUUCGCCUGUGAAGAUAAUGACGGUAGCAGGUAAAGAAACCCCGGCUAACUCCGUGCCAGCAGCCGCGGUAAUACGGAGGGGGUUAGCGUUGUUCGGAAUUACUGGGCGUAAAGCGCACGUAGGCGGAUCGGAAAGUUGGGGGUGAAAUCCCGGGGCUCAACCCCGGAACUGCCUCCAAAACUAUCGGUCUAGAGUUCGAGAGAGGUGAGUGGAAUUCCGAGUGUAGAGGUGAAAUUCGUAGAUAUUCGGAGGAACACCAGUGGCGAAGGCGGCUCACUGGCUCGAUACUGACGCUGAGGUGCGAAAGUGUGGGGAGCAAACAGGAUUAGAUACCCUGGUAGUCCACACCGUAAACGAUGAAUGCCAGUCGUCGGGUAGCAUGCUAUUCGGUGACACACCUAACGGAUUAAGCAUUCCGCCUGG
rnacentral:rRNA from 1 species